AUAUAAACAAACUAAAUAGGAGUUCCAAUACUGUUAAUAAAACAACAUGAACCAAACACUGGAUUAAUUAAAACAAUAAGUGAUAUGUACCUGUGCCAAAAAAAUAUUAAAUUUAUAAACACUUAUUAACAGUCUUAAAAACAGUGUACGGUCAAAACAAAUGUAAACAAAUUGUUCUUAAAACUGUGUGUGGCUGUUAAAUUAAUUAUUUAUUGAUCGUACACUGCAAUAAGACUUGAGUUUUAAUUUAAUUAAUGCGUUUUAAAUAUUAUUUUCGUUUAAUACCAGAAAAACUAUUUCAAGACAAAAGCGUGAACUAACAUCUACAUACAAGUUGUGUUUUUUAGGGUGGACCUAAUAAAUAAACAUAAAUUUAAAUAAUUAGACAUUACAUAAAUAAAAAAUGUAAUAAUUAAAUUGAAAAAAAAUAUUUUACAAAAUAAACAAAACUAAUAUCAUUUAAAAUGAGGAGAAUGUCGCGGUCAAAUAUUCACCGUUUAACGAAAAAGCAAAAGGAAGAGCUUCAUCAAUCGGCUGCUAGAGCUCUUACUUUUGAUACAGAAAAUAAUUCUGGAAAUGAAUGCCCAAAUUUAUGUGAACCCGAAUCGGAUAAAAGUGCAUCAAACUAUUCUUUUGAGUAUGAUACCUAUAAAUCUCCGUGAAAAAUUAUUAGAAUGGUACCAUAAUAAUAAUGUUACUAGAGUUCAACUUGAUGCACUUUUAAAAAUUUUUGAAUUCGGAAAAUCUAGAUCUUCAGUAGGAUAUGGGAAAUGGAGCAUAAUUAUGGCGGUACUAGGGACAGGGAAGGUCUUGCGUCUUACAUUCAUUUAAAUGAUACAUUAUUCGAGUCACAAACGAGGGACGGCUACAGCUUCACCGACCUCAAAAAAAAACCAUUGACUGGCCUUCUCUAGGGCUAAGAACAAAACUUACAAGGUUAAAAUAUAGCAGAAGGGAUGAGAGAAGAAAAAAACGACCCGUAGUAAUUAUAGUAAUUAUAAUUAAUUACAAUAAAUUUUAAA